rnacentral:rRNA from 1 species
UGGGGAAUUGUUCGCAAUGGGCGCAAGCCUGACGACGCAACGCCGCGUGGAGGAUGAAGGUCUUCGGAUUGUAAACUCCUGUUGCCCGGGACGAAUGGCUUCGACCUAACACGUCGAAGUUUGACGGUACCGGGUGAGGAAGCCCCGGCUAACUCUGUGCCAGCAGCCGCGGUAAUACAGAGGGGGCAAGCGUUGUUCGGAAUUACUGGGCGUAAAGGGCGCGUAGGCGGCCUUCUAAGUCGAACGUGAAAUCCCCGGGCUCAACCCGGGAACUGCGUCCGAUACUGGAAGGCUUGAAUCCGGGAGAGGGAUGCGGAAUUCCAGGUGUAGCGGUGAAAUGCGUAGAUAUCUGGAGGAACACCGGUGGCGAAGGCGGCAUCCUGGACCGGUAUUGACGCUGAGGCGCGAAAGCCAGGGGAGCAAACGG